rnacentral:rRNA from 1 species
CCAGACUCCUACGGGAGGCAGCAGUGGGGGAUAUUGCACAAUGGGGGGAACCCUGAUGCAGCGACGCCGCGUGGGUGAAGAAGCGCCUCGGCGCGUAAAGCCCUGUCAGCAGGGAAGAAAAUGACGGUACCUGAAGAAGAAGCCCCGGCUAACUACGUGCCAGCAGCCGCGGUAAUACGUAGGGGGCAAGCGUUAUCCGGAUUUACUGGGUGUAAAGGGGGCGCAGACGGCGAUGCAAGCCAGGAGUGAAAGCCCGGGGCCCAACUGCGGUAGUGCAUUUGGAACUGUAUGGCUGGAGUGCAGGAGAGGCAGGCGGAAUUCCUAGUGUAGCGGUGAAAUGCGUAGAUAUUAGGCGGAACACCAGUGGCGAAGGCGGCCUGCUGGACUGUAACUGACGUUGAGGCUCGAAAGCGUGGGGAGCAAACAGGAUUAGAUACCCUAGUGA